UUCGCUAUAGUCCCACUAGGCGGUUAGGAUACGAGAUUCAUCACACUCUCGAGACCCGGGUUCGAGUCCCGGUAGCGAAA
rnacentral:tRNA from 1 species